rnacentral:lncRNA from 1 species
AUGCCUUUCCCUCGCAAGGAGAUUUUAUUUAUGUCAAAGAUUUCUUUGUCCUGCUGCUAUUCUCCAAGAAACUCUCUGCAACUCUCUGACACAUGCUCAGUCUCCACCGUGGCUCUUAGUCACAGGCUUUGUUGCUCUAACAUUCCAUCCCCAUUAUUCUCAGCCAAAGAUUCUGAUUCCGCAGUUCCACCUCCCGGGCUGAUGGAUUGCUGGCUGACAGAGUCACUGCCUCGGAAGAUUCCAUCCUAUUGGUUGACAUCUCUGCCCUCCUGCCCGGGUGAUAUAUUCUGUUAUGUGAAGAAAAGACAGGCGUGUUUUAUGAUCUCAUCUUUGGUGUCUGAGCAUCCCUUGGAAGUCAUCUGCCUUAAACUUUGGAUCCUGAUCUCUGCCCUGGGCCUGUGCAACUAAUAGACCGAACUCUGAGUGUCAUCCUACACCUUCAAAGUGGCGCUCUGACUUGAUUUCUUUCUAUGUCAGAUCUCUCACCAUCUGCUUCCCUCAUGAGUCAAUUCUUGAUUGUAGAUCAGGGUCAAAAAUACACUUCGGGUGGGUGGGUGACUGGCUCCUAUUCCCUGGUAUUGCAGUAGCAAUAGGUCCGGGGGAAGGAGGUGGAAAGAAGGGGCAAGGAAUUCUGGGCUCACGCACACAAUUUUCACGGCUCUAGUCACUACUGACUCUUUGAGCUACCGGCCCAUGGGCCGACCAGUUCUGAGGAGGGAAGGUGCUCACUAAGGAAGGAGGGGUUGCAUGGGACAGGGACACCAUUUGUCUGUGGACUCCUUGGCUUCCUCCAAUGCUCAAGACCCACCAGACCCCUAAACUGACCAUGCCUGACCCAGCCUGAGUCAAGGUGAGCCCCUGGAACAGCUUAGGCCUCCAGUGGGUUCCCCAACUCAAAUGGGGGUCCUCAGGGCCAGAGGUGAGUCGUGGGAGGAGGACUGGCAAAGGAGUGGUGAAGUGUCUUUCUCUCUCUCUCUCUCUCUCUCACACACACACACAUACACAUCCCUGUGGGCUGCUCCGACAGAAGUCCCAGAGAGUGUGCGCCCCCCAAGAAGGGGGGAACACCCAAAAUGGGGGUUGGGACAGGCACAGCUCUGCAUUAGAAAUCAGCUCUCACUGCUGUGCCCUGACAAGAUCAGCCGGCAAUGUUGGGAUUGACCUUUGCUAAAUUAUCCUGACUGAAAAGAGCCUCAGUCAAUUGAUUCUGGCCCCAGGCAAAACCUGGAUUGUUAAACUACCCUUCCAGGAUGGGCAGUGCCCUUUUAGAAGGCAGACCGCUGCUUUAUAAAACCUGCUUUUAAAAUGUUUAAUGAUUAUAUUAAGUCUUUACUAUUUCCUAAGUGCUGGAGAAGAUAUAAGGUACCUUAGAGAAGCAGCAUAGCUUAGUGGAUAGAGCAUGGGCCUGGGGGUCAGAAGGACCUGGGUUCCAACCCUAGUUCCUCCGAUUGUCUGCUGUGUGGCCUUGGGCAAGUCACUUCACUUCUCUGUGCCUCAGUUACCUCACCUGUAAAGUGGGGUUUAAGACUGCAAGCCCCAUGUGGGACAUGGACAGUGUCCAACCUGAUUAGCUUGCAUCUUUCCCAGCGUUUAGUACCGUGCCUGGCACAUAGUGAGCACUUAACAAAUACCAUAUUAAAAAAAAGUAGAUAGGACACUGUUCCCACAGGGGACUCACAAUUUAAGAGUUGGGGAGAGCAGUUAUCUUUAUUCCCUUUUACAAAUGAAGAAACAGUGGCACAGGGAGGUUAAGUGACUUGGCCAUGGUCAAACAGCAGGUCAGCACAACAGAGCUGGGACUAGAACCCAGGCCUCCUGACUCCCAGUCUAGUGCUCUUUACACUAGGCCAUGCUGCCCACUGGCAUUUUAAACACCAAUUUACAGCCCUAGCAAUGGUUUUGAGAUCCACAUUUUGUUAAAUGCUGCUAACUAGGCCUUCGGGCGACAGAUAAAACUGGAGUAAAGGGCAAGAAUUUUCAAUUAACAAAUAUUUUCAGUAAAGUAAAAAUUCCCUUCCUCUAUCUCCCGACAACAUAUAAGGAUUAAACAGUAGCCGCAACGGAUUUCCAGUGUUUUGGGGAAAGGGCUCCUGCAGUGAGACCGUUUACUUCUCAGACAAAUUCAUUCUGGGGAGAAAAUCUCCAGGGGCAAAUGCUCCAUCUUUUUAUGCUCCAGGGGAGUCAGACUGCACCUCAGGCUCCAGCCCAUCUGGUGGGUGUACAGAGUCAGGAGACAGAAACAGAAACCUAGGCGGUAAACUUGUAGGCAGGGAUUGUGUCUGUUAUAUUGUAUUCUCCUAAGCACUUAGUACAGUGUUCUGCACACAGUAAGCGCUUAAUAAAUACAAUUG